rnacentral:rRNA from 1 species
ACGAACGCUGGCGGCGUGCUUCACACAUGCCCGUCGAACGGAAAGGCCCUGCUUUUGUGGGGUGCUCGAGUGGCGAACGGGUGAGUAACACGUGAGUAACCUGCCCUUGACUUUGGGAUAACUUCAGGAAACUGGGGCUAAUACCGGAUAGGAGCUCCUGCUGCAUGGUGGGGGUUGGAAAGUUUCGGCGGUUGGGGAUGGACUCGCGGCUUAUCAGCUUGUUGGUGGGGUAGUGGCUUACCAAGGCUUUGACGGGUAGCCGGCCUGAGAGGGUGACCGGCCACAUUGGGACUGAGAUACGGCCCAGACUCCUACGGGAGGCAGCAGUGGGGAAUAUUGCACAAUGGGCGGAAGCCUGAUGCAGCAACGCCGCGUGCGGGAUGACGGCCUUCGGGUUGUAAACCGCUUUCGCCUGUGACGAAGCGUGAGUGACGGUAAUGGGUAAAGAAGCACCGGCUAACUACG